ACAGAUUAUGGUAGGGCCAGGCCACGCAGUGCAGAGUGCUGCGAGUUGAGCCUCAGGGACCGCACGUUUUUCGGCAGGGCCGUCGCCGCAGGAGUGUGGGCUUUCGGAAAGCAGCAUCCUGUUGCCGCGCCUGCACGAGGAGUCCGCCAACCUGAAAAGCUGGGUAGGUUGGGGACGCCUGCCUGUAGCUGGGAAUACGCAGGGGCGCUGUCGGCAGACGGAUUGUAAUGGGACCACGAGGAAGUCACGCGACUGUUGUGAUGAGAACGAGUAAUAGGAAGUGCCGUCAGAAGCGAUAACUGACGAUAUUUAUACCUGAUCUGAUUACAGUCGCUAAAGCCUCAACAGAGUAGUUGAACGUUACUGCCAGAUUCAACUCCCGAGUUAUUUUUCUUCAUCUUUCAGAUGUUGGCCUCAGUGCAGAAUAUUGGCGAUGAGAACAGCAUCCCACCGUGAAGUCAGGUUGCCGAGUGGCAGAAGCUUAGUGUUACAGAUGUCUUGAGUCACCUGUGAGGCCUGUGUACAGAGGUACCACCCACCAACUUCUGCUCCAAGCCUGUUGGAGUGUGUUGGCCUUGGGUCAGACAUGGCGGACGCUCUCGUGCAUUUCCUGCUCUGGAGCCUUACCCUGUGUCCCCAGGUUUGGGGACAGCACUGGAGUGCAGUUCUAGAGCUGGCAGCAGCACAGCCCAGGAGGAGGCAGAGGGCUGGAAGCUGCCACUGAUUGUGUUUGAGAAUUUCUGUGACUGGAUCAUUUGCUACAGAAGAAACAAGCUG